rnacentral:rRNA from 1 species
UGGGGAAUCUUGCACAAUGGGGGCAACCCUGAUGCAGCGACGCCGCGUGAGCGAUGAAGCCCUUCGGGGUGUAAAGCUCUUUCGGCAGGAACGAAUACUGACGGUACCUGCAGAAGAAGCUGCGGCUAACUACGUGCCAGCAGCCGCGGUAAUACGUAGGCAGCAAGCGUUGUUCGGAGUUACUGGGCGUAAAGAGUGUGUAGGCGGUUCUCUAAGUUUGGUGUGAAAUCUCCCGGCUUAACUGGGAGGGUGCGCCGAAGACUGGAGGGCUUGAGUGUUGGAGAGGAAAGCGGAAUUCCUGGUGUAGCGGUGAAAUGCGUAGAUAUCAGGAGGAACACCGGUGGUGUAGACGGCUUUCUGGACAACGACUGACGCUGAGACACGAAAGCGUGGGGAGCAAACAGGAUUAGAUACCCCCGUAGUCC